UAAAACAUAAGCGAUCAAUAUGUUUGGUUUAAACUUAUUUAUUACGACAUAGUAACAUAUUCACAAGUUACAUGACAUUGACAUAGGAUAAAUAUGUUUCAGUUAUGGUCCUCUUCCAGUUAGAAUAUGACUAUAGUACAUUGACCUUAUUGAAUAUGAACAAUUUACCCAUGGUGGCUUACUUUAUACUGUCAAGCACUUGAAUAGUCGAGCGCGCUGUUUUCUGACAGCUCUUGUUGUUGUUCUCAUUGACAUUUCCAUUUUAACAUUUAGCAGCCAAAAGGGUCCAAGUCCCCUUGAUCUCGCAAGAACGUACUGCCAGAAUUACGUUGAUCCACCAGGUUUUGAAGUAAAAACCGUCAAUGAUGUCAUAGCAUUGACGCUACCAACGAUAUAUUUCAUGAGGGUCGAAUAAUAAAUGAUGCCGAAAAUGGAGACGCAAAACAAAUUUGUGUAAUGAAAAUAGUUGAAGUCAACCCAACUCCCCAUCUAUGCACUUUCGCCGACAGAGACAUUGCAAUUGGCGAGGAACUCCGAUAUGAUUAUGGAGUACCAACACUUCCAUGGAGAAAGGCAACACAAUGACUACUAAUUCUACGGACAGCCAGGAACCAGGACAAACAACAUCCAUACACACGGAAGAAGUCAAUGAGACGAAAUGUACGGAACAAAAAAGGGCAACACAAUGACUACUAUAUCUACGGACAGCCAGGAACCAGGACAAACAACAUCCGUACACACGAAAGAAGUCGAUGAGAUGUUUUGUAAUAUUUCACUAUGUCGAAGCUACUAAGGGGUAUUUUUUGGUUUGGUUUAGUCUUCAUUGAAAUGGGCGUAAUUUUGCCUUAAAUUAUAUUGUGCCAAUAUUUAUUCCGGGUAAUGCUAAUUGGUAUUUGGGCUUAACAUAACACGUACGUCGAUGAUCAUUAUAUUAACAUGUUAUAGCACACGUUAUGCGAAUUUUAAUAGAAUAAAAUAUUGUUUACCAGU